UUCUUCUUAGCCUGUUGAUUUUAAUUUUACUGGGGAUGAUUGAAAAGCUCGUUGCACGCCAUUAAUGAAUGAGCUCCUCCCAAAUGUGGCGCUAGAAGAAACGUAAAUAAAUGGGCCCGCCAGCAAGUUUCAAAGCUGGUAAACAAACAAAAAACAUAUGAUUCAAAACGUCUCAUAAAAUGGCUUACAUCAUCCUGCGAUGGAGAUCCAAUUUAUCGGUUGAUGGAGGAAGAUUCAUCGAUUACUUAAAGAGUCUAUCGGGAUUUGAGUGACCAGGAUGGCAGUUCCAAAAAGUUCCGUCGAUGGCUCAAAGUUUCGUGGAGCAAAGGAUCAACGUUUGCUGCUCUCAUACUACUGGAUUCGAAGAGGCGAUGUUGGGCGAGUUAAUGAUCGCAUUUGAACCCGAAGUGUAAGGUUCAGAUGCAAGACCAAAUUCGACGGAGCUUUUUCCUAAAAAAGUUUAGAAUAAAACGGCUUCCAAAAAAGUGUAUAACAUGUUUUUCUUUUGAUUCACACAUGUAAGAUAAACAGGAAUAAAAUACCGUAAAAACAAUAAA